GGUCCCGUAGCUCAGCUGGAUAGAGCAACGGCCUUCUAAGCCGUAGGUCACAGGUUCGAAUCCUGUCGGGAUCG
rfam:Bartonella tamiae Th239 genomic scaffold supercont1.1, whole genome shotgun sequence.